CGAGGAAAGCUGAGGAGAGCUGGUCAGUGGACUGUUCUCACAUUUUCCAAGAGAUCGAACCUCCUCUGCCUAAUGUUGUGAGUAUUUGUACUAGUUAAGACUAGAACAACUGUGAGCAUUAUGGCUAUGGUCAUAUUCAAUCCUAUCUGUUUCUCUCUGCCACUGUUUUCAGACACAUUCGCAUAUACACCUGCACACAUUGAAUGAUAUACAUGGGUCAAAGACCAGAUGUUUCUACUCUGGUAAAAUGAAAAUAACAUCUUUAACUAAUUUACACUCUUAAGGAGCAUGCAGUAAUUUUGCAGUAUUCACUUUACAUUUUAUAAUUGUAUGUACUCUGAAAAUGCAGUUACCAACCAGGGACAUUGCAGUGGGGUGGCUCCUUGGGAGCCAUCCUGAAUGUUUUCCCAAAAGCCCCAAACAUUUUGGAUUUUACAAUUAAUGUAUCAUUGUCCCAUUAUCAAUCUCGUUGACUGAUCUUACAAUGGAGCACAAUUUCAAUUAUUAUAGCCAUCUAUUGGUCACUGCCCUAGCCUGUCACCCUGUGUUGUUGUCAGAUCAAGUCCAUUUACAGCUUUGUGAGCAAAAUUACACAGUGCUACCUUUGGAGUAUCUUGAUUUUGCCAUAUUGACAAUACUGACAUUGACAAAACAUUUUCUUUUGAAGGUACCUGUCUGUCAUGGGGUUCAUCAUCAACAUUGAUACCCUCAUGUUGUUGAUUCCUGAGCUGCUUAAAUUUCAGCGAUAUGUCUGCACCUAUCAAUUUAGCCAGGAUCACUUGGAGCCCCUCUUCAAUUCUAUCAGGGCAUCAGGAGGCUGGAAUAGCAAUCCUACUGCAGGCCAGUUCCAGGGCAUUUUCCGCCAUCUCAUGGUCCGGUGCGGUGUCUCACCAAGCAUUUCAGGAAAUGUGGUAGAACAGAAUGAGACCGUGUCUCUGGCAGCAGAAGAAUCUGAAGACCUUCCACCCCCAUUUGUAAACAUCUCUGCACUUGUGUGUGAUCACAGCUACCUGCCAACCCGUCUUGGGAGCCUUGUGGACAAUGCCCUUGUGUACAUUUCAGGGUUUGUUGUUCGUCAGAUUUUGAGGAAGCUGUCCUGUGCUGUGUGUCGUGCUAGCUUGGUGACAGAUGCUGUAUCUGCGUCAUUUGAUCAGAGCUACCACUUGCUUACACUGAAAAACAAUGGAGGACUGAUGAUUCCUUUUGAAGUGGCAACUCGAGAAAAAAGGUCUGGAAAGCCGUUUUGUUCAAAGGGUUUUAGCUCUUGCACUCUGUAACCCUACAAAGGAUUAGCA
rnacentral:lncRNA from 1 species